GAGGAGGUAGUAAGACAACAGGUUUAUCUGGAGGAGGUAGUAAGACAACAGGUUUAUCUGGAGGAGGUAGUAAGACAACAGGUAUAUCUGGAGGAGGUAGUAAGACAACAGGUAUAUCUGGAGGAGGUAGUAAGACAACAGGUAUAUCUGGAGGAGGUAGUAAGACAACAGGUUUAUCUGGAGGAGGUAGUAAGACAACAGGUUUAUCUGGAGGAGGUAGUAAGACAACAGGUUUAUCUGGAGGAGGUAGUAAGACAACAGGUUUAUCUGGAGGAGGUAGUAAGACAACAGGUUUAUCUGGAGGAGGUAGUAAAACAACAGGUUUAUCUGGAGGAGGUAGUAAGACAACAGGUUUAUCUGGAGGAGGUAGUAAGACAACAGGUUUAUCUGGAGGAGGUAGUAAGACAACAGGUUUAUCUGGAGGAGGUAGUAAGACAACAGGUAUAUCUGG